rnacentral:rRNA from 1 species
GGCNGACGAACCCCCUGUGCCACGCCGCGGUAAUUCCGCUCCAAUAGCGUAUAUUAAAGUUGCUGCAGUUAAAAAGCUCGUAGUUGGAUUUCUGGCUUGGAUAUAUUUUGCCGGCCACGGUUUCGUGUGUUAGUGCUUGAUAUUCUGGCCAUCCUUCCAAGGCUAUUCAUCCUUCUUCAUUGAGGUGGUGAGUGGUAUUGGAUCUUUUACUUUGAAAAAAUUACAGUGUUUCAAGCAGGCUUUAUGCUAUGAAUACAUUAGCAUGGAAUAAUAAUUUAGGACUUCGGUUCUAUUUUGUUGGUUUCUAGGACUGAAGUAAUGAUUGAUAGGGAUAGUUGGGGGUGCUAGUAUUCAGCGGCCAGAGUGAAAUUCUCGGAUUCGCUGAAGACUAACUUAUGCGAAAGCAUUCACCAAGGGAUGUCUUCUUUAAUCAAGAACGAAAGUUGUGUGGGGAUCGAAGACGAUCAGAUACCGUCGUAGUCUCAACCAUAAACUAUGCCCACUAGGGAUGAGUGAACGUUGCCUUUUCGACUUCUAUUCGC